UCCCAUUUGACUUUCUUUAUUUUUUUGUAUCUUAACAAAUGUGACAAAUGAAACAUGGAGCUAUUUAUAUUCUGUUCUGAAAUAAAAAUGAUACAUUACUUCGAUGCCCAACAAUUACAUUAAAAAUCCAUUUAUUUAUGAAUGCUUCAUUGUAUUAGUACAUAUGCCUUGAUUUGGUGCAUAGGAGGUGGAUAGUUUAACGUGUUCAUCUGAAUACCAAUUUUUAAAAAGGUGUCAAGCUUUACUCUAUGACAGACAGGAGAUACAGGUUUGAGUUUCCAUGUAUUGCUGAGUACAGAUGAGACUGGAAUUUAAGCAAUAUUCAUUACCCUUGUAACAAAUAAUUUCACUGAGAGGUAUUUGUUUAAUUAGAAUCAAACGUAACUUUACAAUCAAAUAACAAGUAAAAAAAACAGUAUUUUUUUAAUAUGUGCAAUAGCUUGUUAGUCUCCUACUAUUUCUAAUUCUUUUUGUACUUUCUCUUGUAAUCAUAGUUGAAUAUCUAGGCUAAACAUUUCAGAAAUGAUUAGUAAUUUGGGGUGCCCAUUCAGAAUUACUCUACUGGAGCCCAAAAGGGAAUAUUUGGCACUUUCUGACAAUCUAACUCCUUCAAAGUAAUUUAUGUGGAGCUGAAAUAACUAAUCCUUACCGAACUUCUUCCAUCCAAAGAUACCAUAUAUUCAUCCCAGUGAACUCUGACAUGUAGUUUGUUCCACAUCCUCAGUCGCUCUGGUUAUCAGGCCAAGGAGCAAUAAUUAAGUCUGCAUAAACAUUUAGAAAAGUUUUAAAUUUCACUAGGCAGUUGAGCACUUUCACACACUACUUAUUUAUACACACAACUAAAUCAGCUCACUUAAUUUGCCCCUCUCUAUGUCUAAUCAACAUAACAGCUUGUUAUUCUGCUUAAACCAAGUAUUAAACCAAAUAUUUAAAAAUACAACAACAACAACAAAAAACUCUACUGGGUUUUACAAACAAGUAUAUGACAUAGUAGUUUGUUGUAAUGACUUAGGUUGGAGCAGCUUUCUUGUCCGGGACCUUAACAGCUCUCUCAGAACCAGUACUCAGAGACAAAGAUGUGAACAUUGACAAUGUUACGAUGAGAUACCACUCCACCCAUGACGUAGUUCAUCUCCAGUUUCAGGAUGGCAUGGAAAGGUCCAACAAUGGGUCUCACUUGGCGCACCACACCCACUGUCAUACCAUCCAUGUAACGCUUGAUGAUAUCAAAGGAUUCUCUUAAAUUUCCUUCUGUUAUGUCAAAUAUGAUAUCUGCCUGGUUGGCUGGAUAUGUAGGUGUAAUGGCACGAAGAAAAAUGAUCUCUUCAGGUCUUGUAAAUUCUCUGAAUGUGGGUAGUGAAAUGACAGUGUGGGAAAUUGUGUGGACUGGAUCCAACACACAGUUGACAUCAUUUGGUCGACAAGACUUAAUGCAACGGAUAGUAUCUGUCUUUUCAAGUCUGACAGUAUCUCCAGACUUGCGGUAAUUUUCUGGACAUUCCAAAGACAGACAGCGAAACCCUCCCUGGAUGUUAAAGCAGGUCUCAUUGAAAGAACAGUUGUGAGUUUCUGUAACACACUCAUCAAUAUCUUGGCAGUUGCGUGCAUUGGGUGCCAACCUGUAACCCGUGGAGGGACAAGUACAUUGAAAGCUCCCAGGAAUAUUAAUACACCGAAAAGAACAGAUGUGACCUCCAGUAGGUAAAGCACAUUCAUCAAUAUCUUCACAUGAAAUUCCAUCUAUGUCACUAAGUUGAAAGCCACGUCGGCAGUAACACUGAUAGGAGCCAUACACAUUGGCACACUCUUGACUACAUGGGCUGCUCUCACACUCAUUUAAAUCUUCACAUGACCUGCCAUCAGAUGAAAGCUUGAAUCCCAUGGUACAAGUGCAGUAGUAGGAACCAGGAGUAUUUUCACACUUGUGAGCACAAAGGCGGCCUGGAUAGCGUCUGCAUUCAUUGAUAUCAAUACAAGUUCUACUGAUGACAUCAAAAGAAUACCCAGACUUGCACUCACAGCGGUAAUUGCCUGGUCCAUUUAUACAAACAUGUCCUUCACCACAUGGCUGAUCAGAAGAUGAGCAUUCAUCCACAUCUACACAUCUCGUUCCAUCUUCGUUGAGAUGAUAACCUCGGCCACAGCUGGGUGAGAUUCGCUGACAGGUAUACGAGCCAUCAGUGUUGAUACAUAUCUGACCAGCUGGACACGGCAUGUUGGUGCUCAAGCAUUCAUUGAUAUCAAUACAGUUGCCUAGAGCAUCUUGUAUAAACCCAUUCAUGCACUGUAGCUUGGGUCGGCAACGGAAAGAUCCUGGAGUAUUCUGACAGAUAAAAUCGGGGGGGCAGUUAUGAGUACCAGUCUCACAUUCGUCAAUAUCUUUGCAACGACUGUCAUCAGUUAGCUCAUAACCAGUUCCACAGCUCGUGUCCCGCUGACAACGAAAAGAUCCUAAUGUAUUGACACAAGUUUGUCCAAUCCCACAGCUGUGUGUCCCAGUGAUACACUCGUUAAUAUCUUCACAGUUGACACCAUCUGGUUGAAGCUGAUAUCCAACAAAGCAGGAGCAGACAUAACUGGAUCCUGUGUCUCUGCACUGCUGAGAGCAGGGACCACCACCUCUGCAGCCAUCGUGCAGAUAAGGAUCUUCUUGGUCUAGUUCCUCCUUUGAAAUUUCAACUUGUUCCUUUUUAGGAGCAUCAUCACUGAUGGACACAUCCGUGCCUUCUUGACCCUUCACACAACAAGCUCUGAAGACAAUUCCACACUGGUAUCCUAUCUUCAGGUUGGGUUCACAGCUCUGGCCUUGAACUUGGGCAGUCUUUCCCAGUAGACAACAGUAACAACAUUUCUUAAAGUAUUCAGCUUCACAGGUGGAAUUUUCACCAUUGUGUGAGUCACACUCCUCAUGCACGCUGGCAAAUUCAAUCCCAUCUGAACAGUAGUGCUCCUCCAGCUUGCUGCGACAGCACUGCACCUGAGUCAUGCUGCAUUCUCUGGACUCAGAAAUUAAUGGUAGAGAAGUACAUAUUCUGUUUUUGUUUGCCCAUUCAACACCCUUGUCACAGCAUUCUUCCAUCGAAAGAUCUUGGCCCCGGAGCGCAGGCAGCAACGCCAGGAGCAGCAGCAGCAGCCGCAGCGGCCGGGCCCCGCGGAGCUUGUCCAUCGGCCGGCGGGAGCACUCGCACCGAGCGGGGCUUGGCUCUCCCCGCUUCUCGCUCGCCGCCGUUGCUGCUGUGGCUGAUGUUAUCCCAGCCGCCUGAGACCGGUUGGAAAAGAGCUCGCAGGAACCCCCCGCUCGGUGGGCUUUACAAAGAUUUAAUUCACUGCCUCCCCCGGUUAAUUACACAGCCUGCAAGUGCUCAGCAGAACUGAGCGGCACCGCGGCUCGGAGGCAGAGCCCCUGUUGCGCUGAUACCCCUACUCUCUCCUCGCCACCCCCACACAGGCUGUAAAUGUGACUCCCUUCGGCUCGGAAAACUUUACAGAUCCUCAGCAUGAACCUAGGGACGGCCUGACUGAUUCUGUGCGCGAGAAACGCAGCGAAUUCUGUCGGAGCCAAGUGGGAGAAAGCCACAAACAAAGGGAAGAACAUGUGGCCAUGGAUCCAACUAGCCCAACAGCUUGCUUUCAGCAGCGAUUGCAAGUGGUCACCAGAGGAAGGGCAAGCUCAAGGAAAGCCUUCUCUCAGCUAUCCUGCCAGCCUCCAGCUGCUUUGAGUUUGGAACAUUUCCUCAGAGCAAUGUAAUUUCUGUGUACUUAGUAGCCUUCAAUGAAUUCCUAUUCCAGCCAGCUUCAUGCAUCUUCUGCUGGUGCCUCCUCGUUGCUGCAGGAAGACACAUCAAAGAAGUGAGCUCUAUCCCCA
rnacentral:lncRNA from 1 species